rnacentral:lncRNA from 1 species
GCCAUAUUCCUUUUCUUCCUUGUCAACAUCAUAUCAUUCAUCUAUUCAACAAAGUUCGAUUGGAUGCCUACUGUGCCAGGCACUGUUCAAAGGGCUUGGGAAACACCAAUGAAAAAACAGAUGAAUAUUGUUGGUAGAGCUUAUAUUUGUAAUUGUUACUUUUUAAAGCUUUUUCCCACUUAACCAUGCAGGCUCAGCUGCAAAGCAUGCUGGAAUUUUGGAACAGCACAGCAGGGUUCAGUGGAGCUUGGCAAAAUAUUCUGAGUGGUCCAUAAAGCCAGUCUCAAGGAACAUGGCCAGCAAUCUAUAUCACAAUGUUCCAGGGCCUGCAGGCUCCAACAGUCAAGUUUAUCUGACAAUCUAGUGGGCAGGAGCCCAGGAUCAAAAGGCUCUGAGCAAUAUUAAUAAGUGUGGCAACACCUUGAUUUCAGUGAGAUCUAGGAGGAACCCAAGCCCAGCCAAUAGCUGGAAGUACAAGGGACAGUGUACAACUCCUUCAAGGAAGGGGAUCUGGUCCCCUUCGUACUGCCUGACUUCCUGAGGAAACUUAGCUGGACACCAUCUGGCUUCCCACUUCCAACUCUAGCCUGGACAUGGAAGAAAGAGGUCAAGCAGGUAAACCUUCCUUAUCCCGCCCUAUCUCUAUCCCCAAGUAAUAGUCAUAAGACUCGAGUGAGGAGUUCCCGUCGUGGCACAGUGGUUAACGAAUCCAACUAGGAACCAUGAGGUUGUGGGUUUGAUCCCUGCCCUUGCUCAGUGGGUUAAGGAUCUGGCGUUGCUGUGAGCUGUGGUGUAGGUUGCAGACGCAGCUCGGAUCCUGCGCUGCUGUGGCUCUGGCGUAGGCNNNNNNNNNNNNNNNNNNNNNNNNNNNNNNNNNNNNNNNNNNNNNNNNNNAAAAAAAAAAAAAAAAAAAAAAAAAAAAAAAGACUCGAGUGAAUUGCAAAGGCUCUAGAAAAUAGUAGAUCAAGAAAAAAGAAUGCUAACAUCCUUGGAUUUAAUUAUCAUAAAAGUC